rnacentral:rRNA from 2 species
ACCUUCGGGCCUCAUGCCAUCAGAUGUGCCCAGAUGGGAUUAGCUAGUAGGUGGGGUAAUGGCUCACCUAGGCGACGAUCCCUAGCUGGUCUGAAAGGAUGACCAGCUCACACUGGAACUGAGACACGGUCCAGACUCCUACGGGAGGCAGCAGUGGGGAAUAUUGCACAAUGGGCGCAAGCCUGAUGCAGCCAUGCCGCGUGUAUGAAGAAGGCCUUCCGGUUGUAAAGUACUUUCAGCGAGGAGGAAGGCUUAAGGUUAAUAACCUUAGUGAUUGACGUUACUCGCACAAGAAACACCGGCUAACUCCG